rnacentral:rRNA from 1 species
ACCGACGCAUUUCUUCCCGCUCGGGGACGCCGCAGCCGGUUGGGAAUCCGCUUUUCCGAUUCGGUAGGCUGGGACUCCGCCGUGGUCAUUCUCGCAGGGGCUGGCGGCUUGCGGCGAGUAGGUCGGUCACCCACCUGACCCGUCUUGAAACACGGACCAAGGAGUGUAACUUGUGCGCAAGUCAAUGGGACUUGAACAGGCCCAAAGGCGCAAUGAAAGUAAAGUCGUGAUCCUGCGGGCGCAACGGCGGCCAGCCGGAGCUCGAGCGCACAGGUUACGACCCGAAAGAUGGUGAACUAUGCCCGGCCAGGGCGAAGUCAGAGGAAACUCUGAUGGAGGCUCGUAGCGCUUCUGACGUGCAAAUCGAUUGCGAGAGCCGGGUAUAGGGGCGAAAGACCAAUCGAACCAUCUAGUAGCUGGUUCCCUCCGAAGUUUCCCUCAGGAUAGCUGGCGCUCAUGUAGUCUCAUGCCAUAAAGCGAA